UUUAAAUUGAGAGUUUGAUCCUGGCUCAGGAUGAACGCUGGCGGCGUGCUUAACACAUGCAAGUCGAGCGAUGAAGUUUCCUUCGGGAAACGGAUUAGCGGCGGACGGGUGAGUAACACGUGGGUAACCUGCCUCAUAGAGUGGAAUAGCCUUCCGAAAGGAAGAUUAAUACCGCAUAAUGUUGAAAGAUGGCAUCAUCAUUCAACCAAAGGAGC
rnacentral:rRNA from 1 species